rnacentral:rRNA from 1 species
GACAGAGGGUGCAAACGUUGCUCGGAAUUACUGGGCGUAAAGCGCGUGUAGGUGGUCUGGUCAGUCGGACGUGAAAGCCCGGGGCUCAACCCCGGAAGUGCAUUCGAUACUGCCGUGCUUGAGGACUGGAGAGGAGAUUGGAAUUCACAGUGGAGCAGUGAAAUGCGUAGAUAUUGUGAGGAACACUAGUGGCGAAGGCGAAUCUCUGGACAGUUCCUGACGCUGAGGCACGAAGGCCAGGGGAGCAAACGGG